rnacentral:rRNA from 1 species
UACGUAGGGGGCGAGCGUUGUCCGGAUUUAUUGGGCGUAAAGAGCGUGUAGGCGGCCCGGUAAGUCCGCUGUGAAAGUCGGGGGCUCAACCCUCGGAUGCCGGUGGAUACUGUCGGGCUAGAGUGCGGAAGAGGCGAGUGGAAUUCCUGGUGUAGCGGUGAAAUGCGCAGAUAUCAGGAGGAACACCGGUGGCGAAGGCGGAUCUCUGGGCCGUACCUGACGCUGAGGCGCGAAAGCUAGGGGAGCGAACAGG